rnacentral:snRNA from 1 species
AUGCUCGCUUCGGCAGCACGUAUACUAAAAUCAGAACUUCACAGAGAAGAUUAGUAUGGCCCCUGCACAAGAAUGACACACAAAUUCGUGAAGUGUGCCAUAUUUUU